GACGUAGGGCGCAAGCGUUGUCCGGAUUUAUUGGGCGUAAAGAGCUCGUAGGCGGCUUGUUGCGUCGUCCGUGAAAACCUGUGGCUCAACUACAGGCUUGCGGUCGAUACGGGCGGGCUGGAGUUCGGUAGGGGAGACUGGAAUUCCUGGUGUAGCGGUGAAAUGCGCAGAUAUCAGGAGGAACACCGGUGGCGAAGGCGGCCAUCUGGACCGUAUCUGACGCUGAGGCGCGAAAGCGUGGGGAGCAAACAGG
rnacentral:rRNA from 1 species